UACGUAGGGUGCGAGCGUUGUCCGGAAUUAUUGGGCGUAAAGGGCUCGUAGGCGGUUUGUCGCGUCGGGAGUGAAAACCUUGGGCUUAACUCAGGGCUUGCUUUCGAUACGGGCAGACUAGAGGUAUGCAGGGGAGAACGGAAUUCCUGGUGUAGCGGUGAAAUGCGCAGAUAUCAGGAGGAGCACCAGCGGCGAAGGCGGCGCUCUGGGCCGGAACUGACGCUGAGGAGCGAAAGCGUGGGGAGCGAACAGG
rnacentral:rRNA from 1 species